UACGGAGGGGGCUAGCGUUGUUCGGAAUUACUGGGCGUAAAGCGCACGUAGGCGGAUAUUUAAGUCAGGGGUGAAAUCCCGGGGCUCAACCCCGGAACUGCCUUUGAUACUGGGUAUCUGGAGGUCGAGAGAGGCGAGUGGAAUUCCGAGUGUAGAGGUGAAAUUCGUAGAUAUUCGGAGGAACACCAGUGGCGAAGGCGGCUCGCUGGCUCGAUACUGACGCUGAGGCACGAAAGCUAGGGGAGCGAACGGG
rnacentral:rRNA from 1 species